UACGUAGGGGGCUAGCGUUGUCCGGAAUCAUUGGGCGUAAAGCGCGUGUAGGCGGCCCGGUAAGUCCGCUGUGAAAGUCGGGGGCUCAACCCUCGGAUGCCGGUGGAUACUGUCGGGCUCGAGUACGGAAGAGGCGAGUGGAAUUCCUGGUGUAGCGGUGAAAUGCGCAGAUAUCAGGAGGAACACCGGUGGCGAAGGCGGAUCUCUGGGCCUUGCCUGACGCUGAGGCGCGAAAGCUAGGGGAGCGAACAGG
rnacentral:rRNA from 1 species